rnacentral:rRNA from 1 species
GAUGAACGCUGGCGGUGUGCCUAAUACAUGCAAGUCGAGCGAACAGACGAGGAGCUUACUCCUCUGACGUUAGCGGCGGACGGGUGAGUAGCACGUGGAUAACCUACCUAUAAGACUGGGAUAACUUCGGGAAACCGGAGCUAAUACCGGAUAACAUGUUGAACCGCAUGGUUCAACAGUGAAAGACGGUCUUGCUGUCACUUAUAGAUGGAUCCGCGUCGCAUUAGCUAGUUGGUAAGGUAACGGCUUACCAAGGCAACGAUGCGUAGCCGACCUGAGAGGGUGAUCGGCCACACUGGAACUGAGGCACGGUCCAGACUCCUACGGGAGGCAGCAGUAGGGAAUCUUCCGCAAUGGGCGAAAGCCUGACGGAGCAACGCCGCGUGAGUGAAGAAGGUCUUCGGAUCGUAAAACUCUGUUAUUAGGGAAGAACAAAUGUGUAAGUAACUAUGCACGUCUUGACGGUACCUAAUCAGAAAGCCACGGCUAACUACGUG